AUGGACGUUGCGCAGGGAAACGCGCCUAGCACAACAAGGAAACCAGAAGGAAAGCGCCAUGGAGGCGCAGAUCACGGAUGUCGGAAUUCAGUCUGCAAAGGCCCCGCUAACGCGGGGUUUU
rnacentral:sRNA from 1 species